UGCGAUCGUGUAGAUCGCAGUAAGAUCGUAUCACGGUCUUGGUGAGGUCUUCAAGAUCGUAAAGAGCGUGGCCAACUUUGAACAUGUUCAAAACAAUCGUGUUGCGGUCGUGGCAAAAUCAGGUCGUAGUAAAAGCGUAGUGAGAGCGCACUAAGAUCGUAGUAAGAUCGCAAAGGUCGCUGUACAAUCGUAGCGAGAGCGUAGCGAAAGCGUGAUUCUAUUCGGAGAGACUGCUCUACGAUCGCACAGCGACGUUAUCACGACCUCACUACGACCAUCACGUUCUCACUGUGACCCAACUACGCUUCCACUACGACUAUACCACGCUGUUCACGACCAUAGUACGAUUCUAGCACGCCCUUGCCGUCCUCAUCACGCUCUUCUUACGACCUGACUACGUUCAAACUACGACCAUCAUUCUCAUUGUCAUUUUCACAUAAAAUAUAUAAAAAAGGUCCCUAGCUUUUGUUUGUUUGAAUGUAAUUAUCCAUUUGCUCUAACGGCUCAACCAUGCUUCUCGUUUUAUAUAGAUUAGACCGUUGGUUUUCCCGUUUAAAUGGUUUAACACUAGU
rnacentral:lncRNA from 1 species